rnacentral:other from 1 species
GGCGGUCUGCGCUUCACGACAGGAGAAACUUUCCCCGGGGCCUUAUUGAUCCCAAGGGAGCUGUCCCUGAUUGGACCCGUGGGUUCUUUCAUACGGCGCCCACCUACUUUGUAGGCGCCCGGGAUCACCUCUCCAUCGGUUGCCGCGGAUCGCUC